rnacentral:rRNA from 1 species
UUGAAACUGGGUUUCUUGAGGGCAGGAGAGGAAAGCAGAAUUCCUGGUGUAGCGGUGAAAUGCGUAGAAAUCAGGAGGAAUACCAGUGGCGAAGGCGGCUUUCUGGACUGACCCUGACGCUGAGGUGCGAAAGCGUGGGUAGCAAACAGGAUUAGAUACCCUGGUAGUCCACGCCGUAAACGAUGGAUACUAGGUGUGGGAGGUAUCGACCCCUUCCGUGCCGCAGCUAACGCAAUAAGUAUCCCGCCUGGGGAGUACUGUCGCAAGGCUGAAACUCAAAGGAAUUGACGGGGGCCCGCACAAGCGGUGGAGCAUGUGGUUUAAUUCGAUGCAACGCGAAGAACCUUACCAGGUCUUGACUUCCAACGAAUCUUUACGAAACUAGAGAUUGCCUUCCAGCGUCAGUUGUAGUCCAGAAAGUCGCCUUCGCCACUGGUGUUCCUCCCAAUAUCUACGCAUUUCACCGCUACACUGGGAA